CAGUCGCCGCGGUAAUACGAAGGGGGCUAGCGUUGCUCGGAACUACUGGGCGGAAAGGGAGCGUAGGCGGAUCGUUAAGUUGGGGGUGAAAGCCCGGGGCUCAACCUCGGAACUGCCUUCAAUACUGGCGAUCUUGAGUAUGAGAGAGGUGUGUGGAACUCCGAGUGUAGAGGUGAAAUUCGUAGAUAUUCGGAAGAACACCAGUGGCGAAGGCGACACACUGGCUCAUUACUGACGCUGAGGCUCGAAAGCGUGGGGAGCAAACAGGAUUAGAUACCCCCGUAGUCCCUGUCUCUUAUAC
rnacentral:rRNA from 1 species